ensembl:lncRNA
AUCAGCUGGUGCAGGGUACGGUGGCCCAGCAGUCCAAAUCACAGAUCGUGACCAAGGAAGUAUGCGGGUUGGAAAAUGAGCAGACCCUUGGAGCUGAAGAUUCGCUGGCUGCUUCGCAAGCGCAAGGACUGGAGUUCAAUCCCCAGUACCAAAGAAAAAAAACCAAAAAAUCAAAAGAAAAUGGGAAAAAAGCUGAAGCCAUAUUACUGACAAUCAAAUGCUCUUUGUUGGAAGUGUUAGGAGAUGGACAAUGUCUUCAUGUAAAAGUUACUGGGUACUGAUGUCUUCUGAAAGCAAGUUGUACCUUGGGAUGUGUUACCACAUAGACUAAGGGUUGCAUCCAUGCGCAUGUAUGUGGUGCUGGGGAUGGAACCCAGUGCCUUGCACAUGCCAGGCAAGUGCUCUACCACUGAGCUACACCUCAGCCCCCGUGUUGGCAACAAGUAAUUGUUGGAAAAAUCCAUGUGUCAAGGAACUGAAGGGUAUUAUCAAGCAGGAAACUGAGGCUUUCAGCCCAACAGUCUUUGAGGAAUCAAAAUCUGCCAGUUAUGAGAUGACCUUGGAAGUGGACCCUGCCUUUGUCAAGCCUUUUGAUGAGGCCCCGGCCCUAGAUGACAUCUUGAUUGCAGCCUUGUGAGAGACCAUGAAGAAGAGCACCCAGCC